rnacentral:rRNA from 1 species
GGGGGGGGGGGGGGGGGGGCGUGACGGGUGGGGGGGGGAGGGUGACAGGAAGGAGCUUGCGUCGGUGCUGAGGAGGGGCGGACGGGUGAGUAAGGUCUGUGGAACUGUCUGAUGGAGGGGGAUAGCGAGUGGAAACGGUAGCUAAUACCGCAGAAUGUCGCGAGACCAAAGAGGGGGCCCUUCGUGCCUCUUGCCAGCGGAUGUGCCCCGAUGGGAUUAGCUAGUAGGUGUGGUAACGCCUCACCUAGGCGACGAUCCCUAGCUGGUCUGAGAGGAUGACCAGCCACACUGGAACUGAGACACGGUCCAGACUCCUACGGGAGGCAGCAGUGGGGAAUAUUGCACAAUGGGCGCAAGCCUGAUGCAGCUAUGCCGCGUGUAUGAAGAAGGCCUUCGGGUUGUAAAGUACUUUCAGCGGGGAGGAAGGGAGUAAAGUUAAUACCUUUGCUCAUUGACGUUACCCGCAGAAGAAGCACCGGCUAACUCCGUG